rnacentral:rRNA from 1 species
AGAAUUGAUCUGGUCAGGAUGAACGCUGGCGGCGUGCUUAACACAUGCAAGUCGAACGAAGCAACUUAUUACGAUCCCUUCGGGGUGACGAUUGUGACUGAGUGGCGGACGGGUGAGUAACGCGUGGGUAACCUACCUGUACAGGGGGACAACAGUUGGAAACGACUGCUAAUACCGCAUAAGCGCACAGCUUCGCAUGAAGCAGUGUGAAAAGUUUUUCGGUACAAGAUGGACCCGCGUCUGAUUAGCUAGUUGGUGAGGUAACGGCCCACCAAGGCGACGAUCAGUAGCCGACCUGAGAGGGUGACCGGCCACAUUGGGACUGAGACACGGCCCAAACUCCUACGGGAGGCAGCAGUGGGGAAUAUUGCACAAUGGGCGAAAGCCUGAUGCAGCGACGCCCGCGUGAGCGAAGAAGUAUUUCGGUAUGUAAAGCUCUAUCAGCAGGGAAGAUAAUGACGGUACCUGACUAAGAAGCACCGGCUAAAUACGUGCCAGCAGCUGC